GUAAAAUCAUGCUAGAUUAUCCACUUAUGUUAUUAAGGGGAGACACUGAUCUCGAACUUUGAUUUGUUCCCGACAUAAGGUUGGGCAGUGCAGAGUGUUUUGAACCACGAAACCAGAGACUGUUUUAAAUGACAUUACUAGUGGUCCUCAACCAUUCUUGGAACUGAGGAAGGAGGAGUCCAGAAGCUCAAUCUCGUCUACAAGUUUGUUUGAUGUUGUAGGUGAUGAUCUUCAGAAGCUUAACCAAAAUCUUCUGUCUGUAAGUGGUGCCGGACUUCACACAAUAUUAUGUAGAUUUGGGGUUUCAGUGCUGGCUGAGAUUACAUUCUAUGGUUUACUAUUAUUAUUAUUAUUAAGUAUCUAACUCUAGUUUCAACCUUUUGAGUUUAAGAUAAGUUUCUGAUGUUGGCCUUUAUUUGCUAAAUUUUGGGCAACUGCUUCUAAUCUGAAUUUUACUUCUCUGGAUAGUAUUUUUAUGUAAUAUAUAUUAAGGGAGAUAUUAGUUUUCAA